rnacentral:rRNA from 1 species
AUGUCCAUCUUCGACGAGUUCUACAUUGGGUCCAUCGACCUCGGGCGCCUCAACUAUGGGAUCAUUUCACUCAUCCCAAAGGUGCCUGGGGCAUCCGGAAUCCGCCAAUUUUGUCCGAUCACGGUGAUUAAUGUGAUCUUCCGGAUUCUGGCAAAAUGGUACGCCAAUAGGGUGACCCUUCUUGCCGACCUCAUCACCACCCCAACCAAUCCGCCUUCAUUCAAGGCCGGUAUACCUGAUGGGGUGCUAGUCCUUCACGAAGUUCUGCAUGAGGUCCGAUCAAAACACCUCAGGGCAGUCUUCCUGAAGAUCGAUUUCCAUAAGGCAUAUGACACUAUUAGCUGGCCCUUCCUUCGGGAAGUUUUG